AGGCCUAACACAUGCAAGUCGAGCGGCAGCGGAAGGAAGCUUGCUUCCUUGCCGGCGAGCGGCGGACGGGUGAGUAAUGUCUGGGGAUCUGCCCGAUGGAGGGGGAUAACUACUGGAAACGGUAGCUAAUACCGCAUAACGUCGCAAGACCAAAGUGGGGGACCUUCGGGCCUCACACCAUCGGAUGAACCCAGAUGGGAUUAGCUAGUAGGCGGGGUAAAGGCCCACCUAGGCGACGAUCUCUAGCUGGUCUGAGAGGAUGACCAGCCACACUGGAACUGAGACACGGUCCAGACUCCUACGGGAGGCAGCAGUGGGGAAUAUUGCACAAUGGGGGAAACCCUGAUGCAGCCAUGCCGCGUGUAUGAAGAAGGCCUUCGGGUUGUAAAGUACUUUCAGCGGGGAGGAAGGCAGUGAACUUAAUACGUCCGCUGAUUGACGUUACCCGCAGAAGAAGCACCGGCUAACUCCGUGCCAGCAGCCGCGGUAAUACGGAGGGUGCAAGCGUUAAUCGGAAUGACUGGGCGUAAAGCGCACGCAGGCGGUUUGUUAAGUCAGAAUGUGAAAUCCCCGAGCUUAACUUGGGAACUGCAUUUGAAACUGGCAAGCUAGAGUCUUGUAGAGGGGGGUA
rnacentral:rRNA from 1 species